rnacentral:misc_RNA from 1 species
GAUGAAGAACGUAGCGAAAUGCGAUAAGUAAUGUGAAUUGCAGAAUUCAGUGAAUCAUCGAAUCUUUGAACGCUCAUUGCGCCCGCCAGUAUUCUGGCGAGCAUGCCUGUUCGAGCGUCAUUUCAACCAUCAAGCCCCAGGCUUGUGUUGGAGCCCUGCGGCUGCCGCAGCCUCCCAAAACCAGUGGCGGGCUCGCUAUCACACCGAGUGCAGUAGUUUACUCUUCGCUCAGGGCGUGUGGCGGGUGCUAGCCGUGAAACCCCCAACUUCUCAAGGUUGACCUCGGAUCAGGUAGGAAUACCCGCUGAACUUAAGCAUAUCAAUAAGCGGAGGA